GACGAACGCUGGCGGCGUGCCUAAUACAUGCCAGUUGAGCGCUGAAGCCUGCUGCUUGUACCUACUGGAUGAGCCACGAACGUGUGAGUAACGCGUGGGGCAUCUGCCUUUUAGCCGGGGGCCACAUUUGGACACGAAUGCUAAUACCGCAUAAAAACUUUAAACACAAGUUUUAAGUUUGAAAGAUGCAAUUGCAUCACUCAAAUAUGAUCCCUCGUUGUAUUAGCUAGUUGGUGAGGUAAAGGCUCACCAAGGCGAUGAUACAUAGCCGCCCUGAGAGGGUUAACGGCCACAUUUAGACUGAGACACCGCCCAACAUCCAGCGGGAGGGAGCAGUAGGGAAUAUUCGGCAAUGGACGAAAGUCCGACCGAGCGACGCCGCGUGAGUGAAGAAGGUUGUCGGAUCUUAAAACUCGGUGGGGAGAGAAGAGCGUUGGUGAGGGUGUAAAGCGCAGCAAGUGACGGUAACUACUCAGAGGGGGACGGCUAACUACAGG
rnacentral:rRNA from 1 species